ensembl:lncRNA
AUGACUCAGCCAGCAGUACUUGCAAGACGAGCAUACAAACAGUGUGUUACUAUAGUCAGAAGAACUGUAUUUCCAGUUCCUUUGUUUGGUUUUUGCUGCUUCGUGAAUAAUGGCGGGACGACGUCUCGCGUUCAACUCGCCUUCAACUCCUCUCCGCGGUCACCAACUUUCGGCCAGUCCGCAGACAGACGAGAAGAAACUGCUGAAAGCUCUCAGUGGAUCGUCUCGUCAACGCCAACAACAAACUGCCGAUAUCAACGAGCGGUUCGCUCCACUGGAGCGUUCGGGACUCUGCGGGUUUGUGUCCAUCGAGGAGAGGAACCGACUCAAAGAAGAGGAGACGGGCGCACGAUCCCAAGAUAGCGGUAAGAAUACGUUCGAUGACUGCAAGCUAAGCUAAUAGUAGCUUAGCCUCAAGCUAAGCUAAGAGUAGCCUAGUAGCCUUGCAAGUGAGCAGAAACAGCUUUAUUAAAGUGUGUUUUCUUUGCCGUGUCGUUUACAGGAAGCGGUGCGCCGUCUUCACAACUCCGAGACGAAUUACAGGCGCUACGAACCGGAGCAUGGACUAAUCUCGCCUCAUAAUGAGGCGGUGACCUCGUAUUUGCUCCGGGAAAAGUCCAGAUUUUGUCAGGGUUGGGGGUGGAAGGCAGGACUCAGACGCAGAGUUCAACAGGAACACAAAGGACUUUAAUAGUCAAUGGUCAAAAAACACAGGAACCGGGAGGAAAAACAGCAGGCAACAUGUGUGACGAAAGACAAUGACGCGACAAGUGACCCAGGAGACACACGGCUUAAAUAUACAAGGGAGGUGCAGGUGAUUGGACACAGGUGGAAACUAUUAGACGAUCACAGGGGAUGACGGGACAAGGCAGGAAGUGAAGUUACCCGGGGACACGAGUGGCAGAAAACUACAAAAUACAACAGGAAGUGAAACCACACCGUGACAGAUUUAGACGACGUCAUUGUGUCCGCCUGUGAGACGUAUUGUGAGACGGGACGCAGGAGCUUCAGGUUCAGCCGGAACACUCAUUGCUGGCGGAAGCUGCGAAGGAUUCUCGCGAGUCGAGCGAGAAGAAAGCGGCUGCUGGAAUCGAGACAAAGUGCGCUGGCUGAUGACGAGGUGGAAAUCCGCCACCGUGGAGCUCACGUCGGACGGAGAGGACGGCGUUGUUGGCGGCGUCUCGGGUGGAUCGUACGGUCGCCACACACACGAGCCGCCUGCACAACAGACCUGCCUCGGGAAACACGGCGCCAGUGACGGUCAACAACCCCGAGGAGGCAAACGGACAGUUUACUGAGCUGUAGUUUUUAAACCGCCGUUACCCAAGUGUGGGCAGAUCCUCACUUUGUAUGUAGUUGUUGUUUGUGUGUUGUUAAUAAA